rnacentral:rRNA from 1 species
UGGGGAAUAUUGGACAAUGGGCGAAAGCCUGAUCCAGCCAUGCCGCGUGUGUGAAGAAGGUCUUCGGAUUGUAAAGCACUUUAAGUUGGGAGGAAGGGUUGUAGAUUAAUACUCUGCAAUUUUGACGUUACCGACAGAAUAAGCACCGGCUAACUCUGUGCCAGCAGCCGCGGUAAUACAGAGGGUGCAAGCGUUAAUCGGAAUUACUGGGCGUAAAGCGCGCGUAGGUGGUUUGUUAAGCUGGAUGUGAAAUCCCCGGGCUCAACCUGGGAACUGCAUUCAAAACUGACUGACUAGAGUAUGGUAGAGGGUGGUGGAAUUUCCUGUGUAGCGGUGAAAUGCGUAGAUAUAGGAAGGAACACCAGUGGCGAAGGCGACCACCUGGACUAAUACUGACACUGAGGUGCGAAAGCGUGGGGAGCAAACAGGAUUAGAUACCCGUGUAGUCCCUGAGCGGGCUGGCAAGGCGCAU